rnacentral:rRNA from 1 species
CAGUCGCCGCGGGAAAACGAAGGGGGCUAGCGUUGUUCGGAUUUACUGGGCGUAAAGCGCACGUAGGCGGACUUUUAAGUCAGGGGUGAAAUCCCGGGGCUCAACCCCGGAACUGCCUUUGACACUGGAAGUCUUGAGUAUGGUAGAGGUGAGUGGAAUUCCGAGUGUAGAGGUGAAAUUCGUAGAUAUUCGGAGGAACACCAGUGGCGAAGGCGGCUCACUGGACCAUUACUGACGCUGAGGUGCGAAAGCGUGGGGAGCAAACAGGAUUAGAUACCCCGGUAGUCCCUGUCUCUUAUAC